GCCUCCGUAGCUCAGUGGUAGAGCAUGACAGAAUCUUUGAUGAUCCGCGUACUGGUUGCUAAGCGCGGUGGCCAGUCAAGCAUGGAGAAUCGGCUUGUAGCAUCUCACAGUCGUAGGUUGAAAUCCUAUCUGAGGCU